AACAAACGCUGGCGGCGUGCAUAACACAUGCAAGUCUAACGGGAAUGUCGGCUUCGGCUGACUAGUACCGUGGCGAACGGGUGAGUAACACGUGGGUAAUCUAACCUCGAGUUUGGGAUAACCUUGCGAAAGCGGGGCUAAUACCGAAUAAGACCACGCUUGGUUCGCCAAGUGCGGUAAAAGGCGGCCUCUUCGUGAAAGCUGUCACUUGAGGAUUAGCCCGGGGGCUAUUAGCUAGUUGGUGGGGUAAUGGCCUACCAAGGCGACGAGGGGUAGCCGGCCUGAGAGGGUGUACGGCCACACUGGCACUGAGAUACGGGCCAGACUCCUACGGGAGGCAGCAGUGGGGAAUUUUGCGCAAUGGGGGAAACCCUGACGCAGCAACGCCGCGUGAGUGAUGAAGGCCUUCGGGUCGUAAAGCUCUUUUAGUGGGGAAGAAUCCCACCCGGGCUAAUACCUCGGGUGUCUGACGGUACCCACAGAAAAAGUUCCGGCUAACUACGUGCCAGCCGCCGCAGUAAAAC
rnacentral:rRNA from 1 species